rnacentral:rRNA from 1 species
GAUGAACGCUGGCGGCGUGCUUAACACAUGCAAGUCGAACGAGGUCCAACCUUCGGGUGAAGACCUAGUGGCGAACGGGUGAGUAACACGUGGGGAACCUGCCCUUCUCUCUGGGAUAACGUCGAGAAAUCGGUGCUAAUACCGGAUACUCCUUGCGGAUCGCAUGGUCUGCUCGGGAAAGCUCCGGCGGAGAAGGAUGGCCCCGCGGCCCAUUAGCUAGUUGGUGAGGUAGUGGCCCACCAAGGCGACGAUGGGUAGCCGAGCUGAGAGGCUGAUCGGCGACACUGGGACUGAGACACGGCCCAGACUCCUACGGGAGGCAGCAGUGGGGAAUUGUGCACAAUGGGCGAAAGCCUGAUGCAGCAACGCCGCGUGCGGGAUGAAGGCCCUCGGGUCGUAAACCGCUUUCAGCAGGGAUGAAAUUGACAGUACCUGCAGAAGAAGCCCCGGCUAACUACGUGCCAGCCGCCGCAGUAACAC